AUAAGGUGCCUCUUUACAUUUAUAAACUUCAAUGGGCACUUUCCAAGAACAAGACAUUCUUUUUUGCAAUCUUGGCCGGGGCUGGGUUUGAACCCGCCACCUCCAACAUAUGGGGCCAGGGGCCUACUCCUUUGAGCCACCGGCACCGCCUGAACAAGACUUUUUACGUUCCCACAGCACAGUUAGCAGAGGCAGGAAAUUCAGCUUGACCACAGGAAUACUAUCAUCAGUUGCCCUAACUAGGUUCAUUUUUUCUCCUGUGUCCAAGAUGAUACGCAUUUAUUUUUUCCUUUUUAUUCAUUUAUUUUUUGAGACAGUGUUCUACUUUGUGUCCUUCACUGCAGCCUCAAACUCCUGGCCUCAAGUGACCGUCCCUGUCUCAGCCUCCUAAAGUGCAGGGGUUACAGAGUCUCACUCUGGGGAGGCAGGUAGGUUGACCUCUCUUUCAGGGGCAUGCAAGGGAAAGCAGUGCAGACAUCCCAUCUUUGGGGCUGGACCAGGGAAGAUGAAAAGAGCCCGAGGUGCCAGCAGGACGGACUGUCCCUGUACACCAGAGUCAACAGGUGGGACAGGACUGAAAUGAAGCUGAAGUUGGUUAAACUGUUGGCAGUUAGAUGGGGAACCUGGCUUGCUCCCCUGCAGGGACAGAACUGAUUUUCCCCUCUCCCUUCCUAAAUAUAUUACCCACUCCCUGCCUUUUACCCAGCCUCUCUUUCCAUCCAAUCUUCCUAGGGAUUUGGGAUUCUAUUAACCAUAUCUUUUUUUUUGCAGUUUUUGGCCGGGGCUGGGUUUGAACCUGCCACCUCCGGCAUAUGGGGCCGGCACCCUACUCCUCUGAGCCACAGGCGCCACCCUUAACCAUAUCUUUUGGUAUUUUUGCAUUUUGCACAUGUGCUUUUGUUAGAAAUCAAUAAAAGCCUUUUGAAGAGGACAGAGAUUUGCUGCAUUGCCCAGCCUGCUGCUCAGCCUGAGAUAACAUAGCCUUUCUCCCCUCCCCACCCAUGAGUUCUCAGAUUCUGUGUCUUAAACUGAGUCUCACUUUGUUGCCCCUGGUAGAAGGCUGUGGCGUCAUAGCUCACAGCAACCUCAAACUCCUGGGCUUAAGCAAUUCUUUUGCCUCACCCCCCAUGUAGCUGGGACUAUGGCGUCCGCCACAAUGCCCAGCUGUAUUUUUGAGAGAGGAGGUCUCACUCUGGCUCAGUCUGGUCUUGAACUCCUGAGCUCGGCAAUCCACCAGCCUUGGCCUCCAAGAGUGCCAGGAUUACAGGUGUGAGCCACCUUGCCCGUCUUGGUGUAGAUUAUUUUUCCUCAACGUCAUUUCCCAGUUGGCUCUCAAACCAAGUCGGCAGCUUCAAGCCCAACACAUCCCCCUGGGUAGAGUGUGGUGGCACCAUAGCUCAUAGCCAUUUCAAACUCUUGGGGAAGUUCCUCUUGCCUCAGCCCCCCAAGUAGCUGAGACUACAGGUGCCCACUGUGAUGCCUAGCUAGUUUUUCUAUUUUUGUUUUAUUUUUAGUAGGCUGGUUUUGAAUUCCUGAGCUCAAAUGAUCCACCAGCCUCAGCUUCCCAGAGGGCUAGGAUUAUAGGCGUGAGCCACUAUGUCCAGCCUAAUUUUUGUAUUUUUAUUAGAGAUUUGUAUUUUUACUCUUGCUCAGGCUGGUCUUGACCUCUUGAGUUCAAGGAUCCUCCUGUCUUGGCCUCCCAGAGUGCUGGGACUAUAGGGGUGAGCUACUGCACCCAGCCUAAUUAUCCUAUUUCUUAUUAAACUUUUACUCACCAGUUUUAGCAUCCACAGAUGACUCUCUCCCUGUCAUUCCUUCUAUGUUUAUUCACUGGCAUUCUGCUGCAGUGAAGAGAUUUCCCUUCACAUCCAUUUAUUUUUUAAUUCAUUUAUUUGCAACAGUAUGGAUUUUUAUUUUCUUUAAUGGGAUAAUGAUCCAUCACAAAUAUUAUUUGCUUCGAUGCUUAAAUUGCCUCAGAUAUGACCAAUAGGAGCCC